rnacentral:rRNA from 1 species
CCAAUAGCGUAUAUUAAAGUUGUUGCAGUUAAAAAGCUCGUAGUUGAAUUUCGGGGUUAGUAGGUUGGUCAUGCCUCUGGUAUGUACUGGUCUCACUGAUUCCUCCUUCCUGAUGAUCCGUAAUGCCAUUUAUUGGGUGUUGCGGGGAAUUUGGACUGUUACUUUGAAAAAAUUAGAGUGUUUAAAGCAAGCUAACGCUUGAAUACAUUAGCAUGGAAUAAUGAAUUAGGACGUUCGAUCCUAUUUUGUUGGUUUCUAGGAUUGACGUAAUGAUUAAUAGGGAUAGUUGGGGGCAUUAGUAUUCAAUUGUCAGAGGUGAAAUUCUUGGAUUUAUUGAAGACUAACUACUGCGAAAGCAUUUGCCAAGGAUGUUUUCAUUAAUCAAGAACGAAAGUUAGGGGACCGAAGACGAUCAGAUACCGUCGUAGUCUUAACCAUAAACUAUGCCGACUAGGGAUCGGAUGAUGUUAAUUUUUUAAUGACUCAUUCGGCGCCUUACG